UACUGUUGCACUAUACAUUGUCAGGGGCAUCAGUGUAGUGUAAGUAUAUUUAUUAAGUAAUCCUAUUAUCCUUGGCAGAGAGUAUGACAAGCUAAAAGGGAGCCUCAGAUCUUCAAACUAAAUGUGUGAAAAGCUCAAAAGGGACGUGUUUGCUUCAAACAACAAGUUGCAUUAAGCCACAAUGGAGUUGAACAUGACCAAGGAUGACAUGAAAGCUGUCCAAAAUUACUUGACCAACGCAGACAGAGAUUACUCCCUGCCCCAGUGGAGCUGAAACUGCCCCAUCUCCACCAGCCUCCCAACAGUGAGGACAUUGCCCUCAACAUGACCUUUGACAUCAUCACCCCUGACCCGGUGUAUAAAAGGUUGUCACAGGUCCCAUCCAAGAAGAUGCAUCUGGACCCAGCCGUGUUGUCGUCCUCACUGACCAAACACCAAGACAAAGCCUCGUUUGGAAGCCAGAGAGGAGGCACCCAUGGAUACCUCCUACCGUAACACCAAACUGUUCAGGAAGAGAACAUUCGGCAGCAUGCUGGACCCCAAGAGGAUUAAACUGGGAGCUGUAGGUUUAACCUGACUCCCUGUCUUUGUUCUUGUCAACGAUAUGACAAUGUCAUGGUUACGGUGGACUUGGGGAAGAACCAAAUUCUUCCAGCCUAUAUCCUUUUCUCAAACCAUACAAUUCAGGUGUACUGACGUGUAUUUUUAUUGAUAUGGUUAUUGAAGUAAAUAUUGUGACUGUGUAUUUUAUCCUCUGAUGUCUAUUGACAAAUAUAUGUCGUUAUACAUUUGCUGUAACUAAUCUCAUAGGAAACCAUAGUGGAGGAACACGUGAAUGCCAUUUGUUAUGGAAUACCACUUUCCUUAAUUCAGCCCCCCCAGACCAGUCUCUUUUGUCAGAGAUUCGCCCACUCAUGAAGGCCAAGAGGGAAAAAAGGUUCCCGACCAGCUCCUCCCAAGAGCUCCACCUGCCCUAUGCUUAACAGUUUUCUGGAGUGACCUGUGACCUUUCCAUUCCUGACUGAUUCAUGUGUGUAAGUUGCACCUCUGACACUAGUGACCAGCCCGUCUGGGGCAAUAUAGAGGAGCAACCUGAAUACGUCUACCAGUCAGGUAAAAAAAAAUAACUUGGACCUCUUACUUGAGGGCCUGCUCCAAGCUUUGGGCAUGAAUGGGCAUAGCUGCUAGUUUGAUGAGAAUUUGUUUUGGUGUAUCGAGACUUCAUUUGGCUCAUGAAACCCCCUGUCUGUGUUUAGUAAUUUUGUGUUGAGACAUUUCAUUUUUUUCUGGUUUAUAAUUUUGUGUAAGGAAGGGUGAUCUGCUGACUGAAACAUAUCAUCACUAGCAUCUGUGAAAUGUCAGCCAUUUGACUCAGUUGCACAUUACAGAAAUCCAAAUUUUAUCCAUCUUUCACACUUGAACAUUUCUUGUUUUACUUACUGUCUGAAUAUUGUAAUACAGCAUUGUAUUGAAUAUUUAGAAGUUGUUUCCCACUUGGGGCGGCAGGAAGCCUAGUGUUUAGAGCAUUGGGCCAGUAACCUAAAGGUUGCUAGAGCGAAUCCCCGAGCUGACAAGGAAAACAUUUGUCGUUCUGCCCCUGAACAAGGCAGUUAACCCACUGUUCCUAUGUCGUUAUUUUAAAUAGGAAUUUGUUCUUAACUGACCUGCCUUGUUAAAUACAUUUUAAAAAUCCCCAGAAUAGCAUCCUCUUGUUUCAAAUGCAAUUUCUUUUAGAUGCAUAUGUUUACUUGUGAUUAUUGCAUAAGA